rnacentral:lncRNA from 1 species
AAUAAUAAAACCCAAAACCUAAAAUCAACCUAGCCCAACAUCCAAGCCCAAUCCCAAAACCCUAGACUCCCACUUGCCUCUUCCCAUUCUCCCAUGUUGUCUGCCACCAGCACCACUCCCACUCUCCCAUGCUGUCUGCCACCACCAUGCCUUUUGCCGCACCUGCAAACAAGCAAAGGAAAAGGACAAAAAAUGGAGCAAUAAACAUUAACAGAAUAUUGUAUUUUUGGCUAUAAAAGCCACAAGCAAAAUCGGACCAAAAAAAAAAAAGAAGAGAAACAAAAAAAAAGAGAAGGGGACUUUUGUAACAAAAAAGAGAAGAUUCGGCUUUUGAAAAAAUUGAAAGAAAUAAAAAAGGGGCUUUAGAAGGUGAUUCACCUUGUUUUUUUUCGUUUUCUUUAUUUUCGUUCUAUUUCGGUUUUUCUAUAGUAUUUCUUUCUCUUUUUUAUUAUCAACACACAUAUAUAUAAGAUAAAAAAAAUAAAAGUAAAAAGGAGUUUACCUGUUUCCGGCGGCGGUGGAAAGAGGAAGAACCGAAAGGUCUCUUUCGAUUUUGGCCCUUUUCGCCGGGAUUUCGGCUUUUCUAACCCCAGAUCUGGACCCUAUUCGCAAAAAGGAGAAAAAGGGAGCUUUUUUUGGUUUUCCAGCCACCGCGAACGGCGGCGUCGUCACCGGCGUCCGGCGACCGGUGCGGUGGUCGAUGGCCGGCAAAGGGGGCUCUUCCUCUCUUUUUACGGACACAAGAACAAUAAAAACAUAAACUUUGAAUCGGAGAAGUAAUUUUCAUUUCUUUAUUUUUGUGUGUUUUUACAUCUAGUUUGAUUUCUUUUUAUUUCUUUCUACUUACGAAAAUAAAAACAAAAGAAAUAAGGAGAGGAGAAACUCACCGGAGUUGGCCGUGACCGUGCCGCCGGGGUUUUUCUUCCAUCGUCGGCCGUCGGUCUUGGUGGCGUGGUGGCACUCAAGGUGUUAAGAAACCCAAGUGUUGGGUGUUUAAAAAAAAUGGUGGUUUGAAAAAAAGCAGAGCCUUUUUCCUCUAGCAAAUUCAAAAAGUGAAAGAAUAAAAAUAUAAAACAUUUUUUGUCUUUUUUUUCAAUCAUGAACGGUGCAUUAGUGGGAAAUCUUGCACAUGCUUGUCCUUAAUGGGUAAUUUAUGCAUUUAGUCCCUCCAUCUUGCGUUGAAAUGCAAUCAAACCUUUUAUUUUUUUUGAUUUGGGCCGCGAGUUUUGUUUCUGUUUCAAUCAGGUCCUUUGACCAUGUAUGGUCCUUUGCGCUGAAACGUUGCACUCUAGGACUAGGGAAUAUUUCCCUUUUCAGUCCUUCCCUUUUCGCGCGCCUCACAUUUUAAUCCUUUACUCUAUUUCAUUUUUGAUUUCAGCCCUGAGAUUUCGUUUCCGUUUUGAUUUAGUCCUAUUAUUAUUAUUAUUAUUAUUAUUAUUAUUAUUAUUAUUAUUACCUAUUUGUUUAUAUUUAUUUUAUUUAAUUUUCGGCACAUAUAUACAUAUACAUGCAUAUAUUUUUGUGAUAUACAUACAUUGUUUUUAUAACAUAUAUACUUAUAUAGUUUAUAUAUUUUACAACUUAUGUACAUAUCUAUAUAUCUAUAUAUAUAUUUUCAUUUUCCUAAAUAUAUACAUAUUUAUAUAUAAUCUUUAUAGUUUAAAAUAUACUUUUUUUAUAAAUCCGUAUAUACACACAUAUUACUAUUAAUUUAUAUACAUACAUAUCCUUUUAUUUUAUAAGUAUAUAUAUUUUAUAUGCACGUACAUACAUAUUUUUGUAUAUCUUAAUUUACAUAAAUAUAUAUAUACAUUUUCAAUAUAUUUUUUUAACAUGUAUCAAAAUUAACGUGUUUAUUCGUAUACAUACAUAUAUUUUCAUUAUUUUUAAACUUUAAUUUGUACAUACAUACUUUCUUUUAUUUUUUAACAUAUAUAUGUACUUACUUUUAUAUGUAUUUUAUUAUUUUCAUAUUCCAUAGUUUUAUACACCCAUAUAUAUGUACAUAUUUUUAUAUAUACACAUUUAUCGUUUCUUUUAUAUAUUAAAACAUACUUUAUACAUUUUGUUAAUUUAUAUAUAUACAUAUUUUAGUUUAUGUCUAUAUAUAUCUUUUUAUAUUUAAUGGUAUUUGUUACUUAUUUAUUUCAUUUUCGUCAUUAUGAAUGUUUUAAUUUAUUUGUUUAUAUAUAUUGUUAUUUUAUAUGAUUGUAGGUAUGACUUCUAUUUAUUUUAUAUUGUUGCUAUUGCUCGUAUUAUUUUUUAUUUUUAUGUGUAUUAUGAUUUUACCACGUAUAACAACAAUGUAAUUUGCUUUCACAUUUUUUACUACGAUUUUCGUGUUUUAUUUUACUCGAUAUAACAAAAUUUGUUUUAAAAAUAUUUCGUGUUUAGAUUCGAAAGGAUCGUACUCUAACUUACUGGGUUUCGAUUUUCAUAAUAAAUCUAAAUACACGAAUCUUUUCAAACUCAAGUUUUUAAACGAUCUCGGGAAUUAAGAAAAGAUCGUGCCCUAACUUACUGGGCCUGAUUUAUUUCUAAAACCAAGAUAAUAAAAUAUCUUUUAAAUAAGCAUUUUUCAUCCGCGUAUCGGGAAUUUGAGACAUUGUGUCCUAACUUACUAGAUAUGAUUCUCUUUCUCGAAUAACGUGAAAUAUCCCCUUUUUCCUGAAAAUUUUUAACGUUUUAAUACAAGGGUCGUAUUUUUAAAAUUCUUCAAGGUUCUCAAUUUUUGACAUUAAGACAUUAAGUAAUCAACUAGGUACCAAUUUUGGGCGUAUCGAGGGUGCUAAUCCUUCCUCGUGCGUAACCGACUCCCGAACCCGUUUUUCUAAAUUUCGUGGACCAAACUUGUUGUUUUAAUAAAAUCAAACCGUUUAUUAAAAACAACCCCUCUUUGAGGUGAUCCAAUCGCACCUCAUAAAAAAAGAGGAUUACAUUGCUCGGUUCGUCUCACAACUGACAGAUAAAUGUGAUCCAGUAUUCCGGCUCUUAAAGAAACAUAAUCCGGGUGAAUGGGAUGAAGAGUGUCAGAGGGCUUUCGAUAAGAUAAAGCAGUACUUGGCUAAUACCCUAGUCUUAUCACCUCCAAGUCCAGAUAGGCCAUUGAUAUUGUAUCUAACAGUGUUGGAGAAUUCCAUGGGAUGCGUAUUGGGCCAACAUGAUGAGACAGGAAAGAAAGAAAGGGCAAUAUACUACCUCAGUAAAAAAUUUACCGAUUGCGAAAUUAGGUACUCAUCAAUUGAGAAGUUGUGUUGCGCUCUAAUCUGGGCAACCCGAAGACUGAGGCAGUAUAUGUUGUAUCACACGACUUGGCUGAUUUCAAAGUUAGAUCCUUUAAAGUAUAUGAUGGAAUCGACUGCUUUGAACGGGAGAAUGGCUAGAUGGCAGAUCUUGCUUUCAGAAUUUGAUAUAGUAUAUGUCAGUCAGAAGGCCAUAAAGGGAAGUGCAAUAGCCGAUUUCCUAGCUAGUAGAGCCUUGGAGGACUAUGAAUCUUUGAAUUUUGAUUUUUCAAACGAGGACUUGAUGUAUGUGGCGAAUACUGAAGAAAAUCCUCAAAUGGAUCACGUAUGGAAGUUAAAUUUUGAUGGAGCUUCAAAUGCUACGGGUAAUGGAGUUGGGGCAGUUUUGGUAUCCCCAAGUGGAGAUCAUUAUCCUGUUGCUAGCAAGUUGGACUUCGAUUGUACAAAUAACAUGGCAGAAUAUGAAGCAUGUAUUAUGGGCAUUCGUGCAGCCAUUGAACGGAACAUCAAAGUACUGAGAGUAUACGGGGAUUCAGCGUUGGUGAUAUACCAACUCAAAGGGGAGUGGGAGACUAGGGAUCCUAAGCUAAUCGGUUAUAGAAAAUUAGUUCUUGAAUUGGCUGAGGAGUUUGACGAUAUCACCUUCUAUUACCUCCCAUGGGAGGAAAACCAAAUGGCUGAUGCUUUAGCUACUCUAGCUUCGAUGAUUCAGGUGAAUAGACUUGAGGCAAUGAGGCCUGUUCAGAUGAGUAUCUCUGAGACCCCGGCUAAUUGCUGCAAUAUUGAGGAGGAGGGAAAAGAUGAUUGUCCUUGGUAUCAGAGUAUCCUACAAUAUGUGAAGAAUCGGGAAUACCCUGAUCAAGCGACAGAGAAUGACAAAAGAACUCUGAGAAAGAUAGCCAUUGAAUAUGUCUUAGAUGGAGAAGUGUUAUAUAAAAGAAGGAAGGAUCAAGUACUGUUAAGGUGUGUGGAUGCUGUGGAAGCCAAGAAAAUUUUGGAAGAAGUCCAUGAGGGUAUUUGUGGGACGCACGCCAGUGGUUUCACGAUGGCCAGACAGAUCAUGAGAUUUGGGUACUAUUGGCCCACCAUGGAAGGAGAUUGUAUUGAUUAUGCCAGGAAGUGCCACAAAUGCCAAAUUUACGGAGACAAAAUACACGUGCCCCCUUCACCUCUUCACGUCAUGACCUCUCCUUGGCCGUUUUCCAUGUGGGGUAUGGAUGUUAUUGGGCCAAUAUCACCAAAGGCUUCUAAUGGGCAUCGCUUCAUCUUCGUAGUAAUUGAUUACUUUACUAAGUGGGUGGAGGCUGCUUCAUAUGCAAAUGUCACGAAAGCAGUAGUCAGCAAAUUCUUGAAGAAGGAGAUCAUUUGUCGAUAUGGAAUGCCUGAGAGGAUCAUAUCCGACAAUGCGAUGAACUUGAAUAAUAGCACAAUAGCUGAAGUUUGUAGCAAAUUUAAAAUUAAGCAUCAUAACUCAUCGCCGUAUCGUCCCAAAAUGAAUGGUGCAGUGGAGGCGGCCAAUAAGAACAUUAAAAGGAUUGUGGGGAAAAUGACUGAAACCUACAAGGAUUGGCAUGAGAAAUUAUCAUUUGCUCUCCUUGCCUAUCGAACAUCUGUUAGAACUUCUACUGGGGCAACGCCUUUUUCUCUGGUUUAUGGAAUGGAGGCAGUAUUACCCAUUGAAGUUGAAAUCCCUUCUCUACGGGUGUUAUCUGAGCUACAGUUGGAUGAAGCCGAUUGGAUCCAAUCUCGGUACGAUCAGUUGAACCUAAUAGAAGAAAAGAGGCUAAAAGCUAUUCACCAUGGGCAAAUGUACCAGAAACGAAUGAUGCGAGCCUAUAAUAAAAAGGUUCGCCCCCGAGAAUUUCGUGAAGGGGACUUGGUACUAAAAAAGAUUCUUCCUAUGCAAAAGGAUUUUAGAGGAAAAUGGAUGCCAAAUUGGGAAGGCCCUUAUGUUGUAAAGAAGGCCUUUUCUGGUGGAGCUUUGAUCCUAUGCGAGAUGGAUGGCAAAAGUUUACCAAAUCCUGUAAACGCAGACUCCGUCAAGAAAUACUUCACUUGAAAGAAAGAGGAACCAAAGUGAAAACCCGUGAAGGGCGCUUUGCUUCCUAAAAAAAAAAAAACUUUAGAGAGGCUAAGGUGAAAACCCGUAAAGGGCACUUUGAGACCAAAGAGGGCUUGAGUCGAAAACCCGGAAAAGGCGACUCAAGUACUGGGCAGGAUUGGAACAUCAGGAUUUGAGCGGAUCAAAUUUUGAUCGGGGGCAUAUGAUUAUCUUGCUUUACUUGAACCAAUAAGAAAGGAUAUGCAACGUCUUGGAUCAUGGACAGAGUAUUGCAGAUCUCCUGAACACAUGUCAAACUCAGAAGGGUCUUCGGAAAGUUUGUACAGAGAAACUCAAGCUGCGAUAACUAGGGCACCUAGUUCUUAUGUGUAUUCUUGAAAAUACAUUCUUUUAUUUUCUUUCUUUCUUCCUUUCUUUUUGUGAAAACGCACAUUCUCAAUCCACUUCUUUGUUAACCUUCUUUCGCCAUCUUUGAUGUUUUAUUCGAGUUAUGAUCGGAACUAGCUUUAUUCUUAUCCAGUGUUGUGAUCUUUUUGCAAAUAUGUUGCAUAGGAAUAAUGAUUAACAAACUAAUAAAACUUUCAGGAAAGAAGUUUUGCACAUUACUCUGGAAAAUUUCUAAAUAAUAUAGGGACCUGAAACAUGACUAUUGUUUAGAAAAUACCAAGUUUAAAGGGUGAAAUAUCUAAGAAGGAAGAGUCUAAGUUAAAGACUAUCCUUUCAGAUUUUGUUGUCUAAACAUUGAUUGAACAAAAUGACAAGCUGUCGUGUUACAAAGCUUAAAUGAACAAGCAAGCAAUGAUCAUCAGGCAAUAGGAAGAGGUUACCUCGGAGAAGAGAGCCUUCACUUGCGCAUAAGACUUUGGUACGACACCUUGAGAAUGGUGUAGGAAACCAGAACGGUUCAGAUCCUAUAUCCCCGAAUUGUGAUAAAAGAGGACAGAGGAAAAGCCACAUAUUUCUACCCUUAGAUUACUGUGAGAGAAUGAUGGUACAAAUUUUGGCAUCCCAGUGGAUAUAACUUUGAGGUUUACAAUGGGGACAGUCUGGCUAAAUGUUUCUUCAGAAAAGUCAGUCAAGCGAGAAGGCGUUGAAGCACGUCAGUCACAAAGCCUUAGUAAACUUCGAGUAAUGACAACCUAAGCGAGAUCAUUCUCGGAAAAAUAAAAUUCUGCAUUCAUGCAAACACCAUUCACAUAUGUCUAGUUAGGAGCAUUUGUUUCAUUUUGAUCAUGUCAUCCUAAUCAUUAGGCAUAAUUAGGUUUAUUAUACAGGUCUUAUCUCCCUGAGUUUACAGUGGAGUAGACCGAAAAAUUUCAGAUCUUAUCUCCCUGAGGUUACAGUGGAGCAGAUUGAAGCCAGAGAUCUUAUCUCUCUGAAAUUACAGCGGAGUAGAUUGAAGCUAGUAAUCCUAUCUCUCUGAAGUUACAGUGGAGCGGAUUAAAAUAAAGGAUCUUAUCUCUCUGAAGUUACAGUAGAGUAGAUCACAUCAGAUUGAAGCCAGAGAUCUUAUCUCCCUGAGAUUACAGUGGAACAGACCGAAAAAUUUCAGAUCUUAUCUCCCUGAGGUUACAGUGGAGCAGAUUGAAGCCAGAGAUCUUAUCUCUCUGAAAUUACAGCGGAGUAGAUUGAAGCUAGUAAUCCUAUCUCUCUGAAGUUACAGUGGAGCGGAUUAAAAUAAAGGAUCUUAUCUCUCUGAAGUUACAGUAGAGUAGAUCACAUCAGAUUGAAGCCAGAGAUCUUAUCUCCCUGAGAUUACAGUGGAACAGACCGAAAAAUUUCAGAUCUUAUCUCCCUGAGGUUACAGUGGAGCAGAUUGAAGCCAGAGAUCUUAUCUCUCUGAAAUUACAGCGGAGUAGAUUGAAGCUAGUAAUCCUAUCUCUCUGAAGUUACAGUGGAGCGGAUUAAAAUAAAGGAUCUUAUCUCUCUGAAGUUACAGUAGAGUAGAUCACAUCAGAUUGAAGCCAGAGAUCUUAUCUCCCUGAUGUUGCAGUGGAACAGACUGAAAACAUAAAUUUCGUUCCCUUGCGAAGGAGAUUAAAGCUACAAAUUAGAUCGAAGCAACAAGGCACAGUGGACGGAAUAAGGCUACCUGAAGAAGAGAAGUGUCAAAAAAAAGUCAAGACUCGGCAAGACCAGGCAAAAUUGGCCCUUUUGAUGUCUUUGCUCUAUUCUCGUUACACGAAAAUGAGCAAAGAGGGGCAACUGUAAAAGUCCAUUUUUGCCCGGGCCCAUACCAACAAAAUAACCCAAAUAAUAAAACCCAAAACCUAAAAUCAACCUAGCCCAACAUCCAAGCCCAAUCCCAAAACCCUAGACUCCCACUUGCCUCUUCCCAUUCUCCCAUGUUGUCUGCCACCAGCACCACUCCCACUCUCCCAUGCUGUCUGCCACCACCAUGCCUUUUGCCGCACCUGCAAACAAGCAAAGGAAAAGGACAAAAAAUGGAGCAAUAAACAUUAACAGAAUAUUGUAUUUUUGGCUAUAAAAGCCACAAGCAAAAUCGGACCAAAAAAAAAAGAAGAGAAACAAAAAAAAGAGAAGGGGACUUUUGUAACAAAAAAGAGAAGAUUCGGCUUUUGAAAAAAUUGAAAGAAAUAAAAAAGGGGCUUUAGAAGGUGAUUCACCUUGUUUUUUUUUCGUUUUCUUUAUUUUCGUUCUAUUUCGGUUUUUCUAUAGUAUUUCUUUCUCUUUUUUAUUAUCAACACACAUAUAUAUAAGAUAAAAAAAAUAAAAGUAAAAAGGAGUUUACCUGUUUCCGGCGGCGGUGGAAAGAGGAAGAACCGAAAGGUCUCUUUCGAUUUUGGCCCUUUUCGCCGGGAUUUCGGCUUUUCUAACCCCAGAUCUGGACCCUAUUCGCAAAAAGGAGAAAAAGGGAGCUUUUUUUUGGUUUUCCGGCCACCGCGAACGGCGGCGUCGUCGCCGGCGUCCGGCGACCGGUGCGGUGGUCGAUGGCCGGCAAAGGGGGCUCUUCCUCUCUUUUUACGGACACAAGAACAAUAAAAACAUAAACUUUGAAUCGGAGAAGUAAUUUUCAUUUCUUUAUUUUUGUGUGUUUUUACAUCUAGUUUGAUUUCUUUUUAUUUCUUUCUACUUACGAAAAUAAAAACAAAAGAAAUAAGGAGAGGAGAAACUCACCGGAGUUGGCCGUGACCGUGCCGCCGGGGUUUUUUCUUCCAUCGUCGGCCGUCGGUCUUGGUGGCGUGGUGGCACUCAAGGUGUUAAGAAACCCAAGUGUUGGGUGUUUAAAAAAAAUGGUGGUUUGAAAAAAAGCAGAGCCUUUUUCCUCUAGCAAAUUCAAAAAGUGAAAGAAUAAAAAUAUAAAACAUUUUUUGUCUUUUUUUUCAAUCAUGAACGGUGCAUUAGUGGGGAAUCUUGCACAUGCUUGUCCUUAAUGGGUAAUUUAUGCAUUUAGUCCCUCCAUCUUGCGUUGAAAUGCAAUCAAACCUUUAUUUUUUUUUGAUUUGGGCCGCGAGGUUUUGUUUCUGUUUCAAUCAGGUCCUUUGACCAUGUAUGGUCCUUUGCGCUGAAACGUUGCACUCUAGGACUAGGGAAUAUUUCCCUUUUCAGUCCCUUCCCUUUUCGCGCGCCUCACAUUUUAAUCCUUUUCAUUGACAGCCCUGAGAUUUCGUUUCCGUUUUGAUUUAGUCCUAUUAUUAUUAUUAGUAUUAUUAGACCUAUGUUAUAUUUAUUUUUAAUUUCGGCACAUAUAUACAUAUACAUGCAUAUAUUUUUUGUGAUAUACAUACAUGUUUAUAACAUAUUACUUAUAUAGUUUAUAUAUUUUACAACUUAUGUACAUAUCUAUAUAUCUAUAUAUAUAUUUUCAUUUUCCUAAAUAUAUACAUAUUUAUAUAUAAUCUUUAUAGUUUAAAAUAUACUUUUUUUAUAAAUCCGUAUAUACACACAUAUUACUAUUAAUUUAUAUACAUACAUAUCCUUUUAUUUUAUAAGUAUAUAUAUUUUAUAUGCACGUACAUACAUAUUUUGUAUAUCUUAAUUUACAUAAAUAUAUAUAUACAUUUUCAAUAUAUUUUUUUAACAUGUAUCAAAAUUAACGUUGUUUAUUCGUUUAUACAUACAUAUAUUUUCAUUAUUUUUAAACUUUAAUUUGUACAUACAUACUUUCUUUUAUUUUUUAACAUAUAUAUGUACUUACUUUUAUAUGUAUUUUAUUAUUUUCAUAUUCCAUAGUUUUAUACACCCAUAUAUAUGUACAUAUUUUUAUAUAUACACAUUUAUCGCUUCUUUUAUAUAUUAAAACAUACUUUAUACAUUUUGUUAAUUUAUAUAUAUACAUAUUUUAGUUUAUGUCUAUAUAUAUCUUUUAUAUUUAAUGGUAUUUGUUACUUAUUUAUUUCAUUUUCGUCAUUAUGAAUGUUUUAAUUUAUUUGUUUAUAUAUAUUGUUAUUUUAUAUGAUUGUAGGUAUGACUUCUAUUUAUUUUAUAUUGUUGCUAUUGCUCGAUUAUUUUUUAUUUUAUGUGUAUUAUGAUUUUACCACGUAUAACAACAAUGUAAUUUGCUUUCCACAUUUUUUACUACGAUUUUCGUGUUUUAUUUACUCGAUAUAAACAAAAUUUGUUUUAAAAAAUAUUUCGUGUUUAGAUUCGAAAAGGAUCGUACUCUAACUACUGGGUUUCGAUUUUCAUAAUAAAUCUAAAUACACGAAUCUUUCAAAACUCAGUUUUUUAAACGAUCUCGGGAAUUAAGAAAAGAUCGUUGCCCUAACUUUACUGGGCCUGACUUUAUUCUAAAACCAAGAUAAUAAAAUAUCUUUUAAAUAAGCAUUUUUUUCAUCCGCGUAUCGGGAAUUUGAGACAUUGUGUCCUAACUUACUAGAUAUGAUUCUCUUNNNNNNNNNNNNNNNNNNNNNNNNNNNNNNNNNNNNNNNNNNNNNNNNNNNNNNNNNNNNNNNNNNNNNNNNNNNNNNNNNNNNNNNNNNNNNNNNNNNNNNNNNNNNNNNNNNNNNNNNNNNNNNNNNNNNNNNNNNNNNNNNNNNNNNNNNNNNNNNNNNNNNNNNNNNNNNNNNNNNNNNNNNNNNNNNNNNNNNNNNNNNNNNNNNNNNNNNNNNNNNNNNNNNNNNNNNNNNNNNNNNNNNNNNNNNNNNNNNNNNNNNNNNNNNNNNNNNNNNNNNNNNNNNNNNNNNNNNNNNNNNNNNNNNNNNNNNNNNNNNNNNNNNNNNNNNNNNNNNNNNNNNNNNNNNNNNNNNNNNNNNNNNNNNNNNNNNNNNNNNNNNNNNNNNNNNNNNNNNNNNNNNNNNNNNNNNNNNNNNNNNNNNNNNNNNNNNNNNNNNNNNNNNNNNNNNNNNNNNNNNNNNNNNNNNNNNNNNNNNNNNNNNNNNNNNNNNNNNNNCCCCUCAUAAAAAAAGAGGAUUACAUUGCUCGGUUCGUCUCACAACUGACAGAUAAUGUGAUCCAGUAUUCCGGCUCUUAAAGAAACAUAAUCCGGGUGAAUGGGAUGAAGAGUGUCAGAGGGCUUUCGAUAAGAUAAAGCAGUACUUGGCUAAUACCCUAGUCUUAUCACCUCCAAGUCCAGAUAGGCCAUUGAUAUUGUAUCUAACAGUGUUGGAGAAUUCCAUGGGAUGCGUAUUGGGCCAACAUGAUGAGACAGGAAAGAAAGAAAGGGCAAUAUACUACCUCAGUAAAAAAUUUACCGAUUGCGAAAUUAGGUACUCAUCAAUUGAGAAGUUGUGUUGCGCUCUAAUCUGGGCAACCCGAAGACUGAGGCAGUAUAUGUUGUAUCACACGACUUGGCUGAUUUCAAAGUUAGAUCCUUUAAAGUAUAUGAUGGAAUCGACUGCUUUGAACGGGAGAAUGGCUAGAUGGCAGAUCUUGCUUUCAGAAUUUGAUAUAGUAUAUGUCAGUCAGAAGGCCAUAAAGGGAAGUGCAAUAGCCGAUUUCCUAGCUAGUAGAGCCUUGGAGGACUAUGAAUCUUUGAAUUUUGAUUUUUCAAACGAGGACUUGAUGUAUGUGGCGAAUACUGAAGAAAAUCCUCAAAUGGAUCACGUAUGGAAGUUAAAUUUUGAUGGAGCUUCAAAUGCUACGGGUAAUGGAGUUGGGGCAGUUUUGGUAUCCCCAAGUGGAGAUCAUUAUCCUGUUGCUAGCAAGUUGGACUUCGAUUGUACAAAUAACAUGGCAGAAUAUGAAGCAUGUAUUAUGGGCAUUCGUGCAGCCAUUGAACGGAACAUCAAAGUACUGAGAGUAUACGGGGAUUCAGCGUUGGUGAUAUACCAACUCAAAGGGGAGUGGGAGACUAGGGAUCCUAAGCUAAUCGGUUAUAGAAAAUUAGUUCUUGAAUUGGCUGAGGAGUUUGACGAUAUCACCUUCUAUUACCUCCCAUGGGAGGAAAACCAAAUGGCUGAUGCUUUAGCUACUCUAGCUUCGAUGAUUCAGGUGAAUAGACUUGAGGCAAUGAGGCCUGUUCAGAUGAGUAUCUCUGAGACCCCGGCUAAUUGCUGCAAUAUUGAGGAGGAGGGAAAAGAUGAUUGUCCUUGGUAUCAGAGUAUCCUACAAUAUGUGAAGAAUCGGGAAUACCCUGAUCAAGCGACAGAGAAUGACAAAAGAACUCUGAGAAAGAUAGCCAUUGAAUAUGUCUUAGAUGGAGAAGUGUUAUAUAAAAGAAGGAAGGAUCAAGUACUGUUAAGGUGUGUGGAUGCUGUGGAAGCCAAGAAAAUUUUGGAAGAAGUCCAUGAGGGUAUUUGUGGGACGCACGCCAGUGGUUUCACGAUGGCCAGACAGAUCAUGAGAUUUGGGUACUAUUGGCCCACCAUGGAAGGAGAUUGUAUUGAUUAUGCCAGGAAGUGCCACAAAUGCCAAAUUUACGGAGACAAAAUACACGUGCCCCCUUCACCUCUUCACGUCAUGACCUCUCCUUGGCCGUUUUCCAUGUGGGGUAUGGAUGUUAUUGGGCCAAUAUCACCAAAGGCUUCUAAUGGGCAUCGCUUCAUCUUCGUAGUAAUUGAUUACUUUACUAAGUGGGUGGAGGCUGCUUCAUAUGCAAAUGUCACGAAAGCAGUAGUCAGCAAAUUCUUGAAGAAGGAGAUCAUUUGUCGAUAUGGAAUGCCUGAGAGGAUCAUAUCCGACAAUGCGAUGAACUUGAAUAAUAGCACAAUAGCUGAAGUUUGUAGCAAAUUUAAAAUUAAGCAUCAUAACUCAUCGCCGUAUCGUCCCAAAAUGAAUGGUGCAGUGGAGGCGGCCAAUAAGAACAUUAAAAGGAUUGUGGGGAAAAUGACUGAAACCUACAAGGAUUGGCAUGAGAAAUUAUCAUUUGCUCUCCUUGCCUAUCGAACAUCUGUUAGAACUUCUACUGGGGCAACGCCUUUUUCUCUGGUUUAUGGAAUGGAGGCAGUAUUACCCAUUGAAGUUGAAAUCCCUUCUCUACGGGUGUUAUCUGAGCUACAGUUGGAUGAAGCCGAUUGGAUCCAAUCUCGGUACGAUCAGUUGAACCUAAUAGAAGAAAAGAGGCUAAAAGCUAUUCACCAUGGGCAAAUGUACCAGAAACGAAUGAUGCGAGCCUAUAAUAAAAAGGUUCGCCCCCGAGAAUUUCGUGAAGGGGACUUGGUACUAAAAAAGAUUCUUCCUAUGCAAAAGGAUUUUAGAGGAAAAUGGAUGCCAAAUUGGGAAGGCCCUUAUGUUGUAAAGAAGGCCUUUUCUGGUGGAGCUUUGAUCCUAUGCGAGAUGGAUGGCAAAAGUUUACCAAAUCCUGUAAACGCAGACUCCGUCAAGAAAUACUUCACUUGAAAGAAAGAGGAACCAAAGUGAAAACCCGUGAAGGGCGCUUUGCUUCCUAAAAAAAAAAAAACUUUAGAGAGGCUAAGGUGAAAACCCGUAAAGGGCACUUUGAGACCAAAGAGGGCUUGAGUCGAAAACCCGGAAAAGGCGACUCAAGUACUGGGCAGGAUUGGAACAUCAGGAUUUGAGCGGAUCAAAUUUUGAUCGGGGGCAUAUGAUUAUCUUGCUUUACUUGAACCAAUAAGAAAGGAUAUGCAACGUCUUGGAUCAUGGACAGAGUAUUGCAGAUCUCCUGAACACAUGUCAAACUCAGAAGGGUCUUCGGAAAGUUUGUACAGAGAAACUCAAGCUGCGAUAACUAGGGCACCUAGUUCUUAUGUGUAUUCUUGAAAAUACAUUCUUUUAUUUUCUUUCUUUCUUCCUUUCUUUUUGUGAAAACGCACAUUCUCAAUCCACUUCUUUGUUAACCUUCUUUCGCCAUCUUUGAUGUUUUAUUCGAGUUAUGAUCGGAACUAGCUUUAUUCUUAUCCAGUGUUGUGAUCUUUUUGCAAAUAUGUUGCAUAGGAAUAAUGAUUAACAAACUAAUAAAACUUUCAGGAAAGAAGUUUUGCACAUUACUCUGGAAAAUUUCUAAAUAAUAUAGGGACCUGAAACAUGACUAUUGUUUAGAAAAUACCAAGUUUAAAGGGUGAAAUAUCUAAGAAGGAAGAGUCUAAGUUAAAGACUAUCCUUUCAGAUUUUGUUGUCUAAACAUUGAUUGAACAAAAUGACAAGCUGUCGUGUUACAAAGCUUAAAUGAACAAGCAAGCAAUGAUCAUCAGGCAAUAGGAAGAGGUUACCUCGGAGAAGAGAGCCUUCACUUGCGCAUAAGACUUUGGUACGACACCUUGAGAAUGGUGUAGGAAACCAGAACGGUUCAGAUCCUAUAUCCCCGAAUUGUGAUAAAAGAGGACAGAGGAAAAGCCACAUAUUUCUACCCUUAGAUUACUGUGAGAGAAUGAUGGUACAAAUUUUGGCAUCCCAGUGGAUAUAACUUUGAGGUUUACAAUGGGGACAGUCUGGCUAAAUGUUUCUUCAGAAAAGUCAGUCAAGCGAGAAGGCGUUGAAGCACGUCAGUCACAAAGCCUUAGUAAACUUCGAGUAAUGACAACCUAAGCGAGAUCAUUCUCGGAAAAAUAAAAUUCUGCAUUCAUGCAAACACCAUUCACAUAUGUCUAGUUAGGAGCAUUUGUUUCAUUUUGAUCAUGUCAUCCUAAUCAUUAGGCAUAAUUAGGUUUAUUAUACAGGUCUUAUCUCCCUGAGUUUACAGUGGAGUAGACCGAAAAAUUUCAGAUCUUAUCUCCCUGAGGUUACAGUGGAGCAGAUUGAAGCCAGAGAUCUUAUCUCUCUGAAAUUACAGCGGAGUAGAUUGAAGCUAGUAAUCCUAUCUCUCUGAAGUUACAGUGGAGCGGAUUAAAAUAAAGGAUCUUAUCUCUCUGAAGUUACAGUAGAGUAGAUCACAUCAGAUUGAAGCCAGAGAUCUUAUCUCCCUGAGAUUACAGUGGAACAGACCGAAAAAUUUCAGAUCUUAUCUCCCUGAGGUUACAGUGGAGCAGAUUGAAGCCAGAGAUCUUAUCUCUCUGAAAUUACAGCGGAGUAGAUUGAAGCUAGUAAUCCUAUCUCUCUGAAGUUACAGUGGAGCGGAUUAAAAUAAAGGAUCUUAUCUCUCUGAAGUUACAGUAGAGUAGAUCACAUCAGAUUGAAGCCAGAGAUCUUAUCUCCCUGAGAUUACAGUGGAACAGACCGAAAAAUUUCAGAUCUUAUCUCCCUGAGGUUACAGUGGAGCAGAUUGAAGCCAGAGAUCUUAUCUCUCUGAAAUUACAGCGGAGUAGAUUGAAGCUAGUAAUCCUAUCUCUCUGAAGUUACAGUGGAGCGGAUUAAAAUAAAGGAUCUUAUCUCUCUGAAGUUACAGUAGAGUAGAUCACAUCAGAUUGAAGCCAGAGAUCUUAUCUCCCUGAUGUUGCAGUGGAACAGACUGAAAACAUAAAUUUCGUUCCCUUGCGAAGGAGAUUAAAGCUACAAAUUAGAUCGAAGCAACAAGGCACAGUGGACGGAAUAAGGCUACCUGAAGAAGAGAAGUGUCAAAAAAAAGUCAAGACUCGGCAAGACCAGGCAAAAUUGGCCCUUUUGAUGUCUUUGCUCUAUUCUCGUUACACGAAAAUGAGCAAAGAGGGGCAACUGUAAAAGUCCAUUUUUGCCCGGGCCCAUACCAACAAAAUAACCCAAAUAAUAAAACCCAAAACCUAAAAUCAACCUAGCCCAACAUCCAAGCCCAAUCCCAAAACCCUAGACUCCCACUUGCCUCUUCCCAUUCUCCCAUGUUGUCUGCCACCAGCACCACUCCCACUCUCCCAUGCUGUCUGCCACCACCAUGCCUUUUGCCGCACCUGCAAACAAGCAAAGGAAAAGGACAAAAAAUGGAGCAAUAAACAUUAACAGAAUAUUGUAUUUUUGGCUAUAAAAGCCACAAGCAAAAUCGGACCAAAAAAAAAAGAAGAGAAACAAAAAAAAGAGAAGGGGACUUUUGUAACAAAAAAGAGAAGAUUCGGCUUUUGAAAAAAUUGAAAGAAAUAAAAAAGGGGCUUUAGAAGGUGAUUCACCUUGUUUUUUUUCGUUUUCUUUAUUUUCGUUCUAUUUCGGUUUUUCUAUAGUAUUUCUUUCUCUUUUUUAUUAUCAACACACAUAUAUAUAAGAUAAAAAAAAUAAAAGUAAAAAGGAGUUUACCUGUUUCCGGCGGCGGUGGAAAGAGGAAGAACCGAAAGGUCUCUUUCGAUUUUGGCCCUUUUCGCCGGGAUUUCGGCUUUUCUAACCCCAGAUCUGGACCCUAUUCGCAAAAAGGAGAAAAAGGGAGCUUUUUUUGGUUUUCCGGCCACCGCGAACGGCGGCGUCGUCGCCGGCGUCCGGCGACCGGUGCGGUGGUCGAUGGCCGGCAAAGGGGGCUCUUCCUCUCUUUUUACGGACACAAGAACAAUAAAAACAUAAACUUUGAAUCGGAGAAGUAAUUUUC